GAGGGGGAAAAAUUGCUUCACAGUGUGGUAACUGGUAUCAAAGCACUAUUGCACAAGGCAUAAUUUUAAUUAAAAAAUUA
rnacentral:ribozyme from 1 species